UCAGACGAUGCGUCAUGCAUAUCAAUAAGCGGAGGAAAAGAAACUAACAAGGAUUCCCUUAGUAACGGCGAGUGAAGCGGGAAGAGCUCAAAUUUGAAAUCUUCAAGGUUUUACCUUGACGAAUUGUAGUUUAAAGAAGUGUUUUCUGUUGAAGUUUUGGUAAAAGUUCUUUGGAAUAGGACAUCAUAGAGGGUGAGAAUCCCGUAUUUGACCGUUACUUUCCAGCUGUGUGAUACACUUUCAAAGAGUCGGAUUGUUUGGGAAUGCAGUCCAAAAUGGGUGGUAAAUUUCAUCUAAAGCUAAAUAUUGGCGAGAGACCGAUAGCGAACAAGUACCGUGAGGGAAAGAUGAAAAGAACUUUGAAAAGAGAGUUAAACAGUACGUGAGAUUGUCAAAAGGGAAGCGUUUGACACCAGUGUUGUUUUUCUCGAAAAUCAAUUAAAAGAGUGGAUUCAUGCUAGUUGUAUUGACCUUAAUCAGCUUGCAAUUUGUUUCUGGUUCUUUUUUAAUGCACUUUUCGUUAACAAGUCAACAUCAGUUUCCUUUGCUGUAAAAGGGUCAUAGGAAGGUGGCUUCAUUUCGGUAGAAAGUGUUUAUAGCCUUUUGAUCUCUGCAAUCGGAGAGAUUGAGGUCUGCAGCGUAGAUCCUUCGGGGUUAGAUACAUUUGUGCUAAGUUAUAGCCUUUCAUAGACAACUUGUUGACUAUGAUCAGUCAUGUAACUUACUCGCUUAUGCUAUUUUACCUACGCUUAGGAUGUUGAUAUGCAUGACUGAUAU
rnacentral:rRNA from 1 species